UAUAUAUAUAUAUAUAAUAACAUCAUGGAGGACAGGAAGCAGGGAAUCAGAGAGAAAUAGGAAUGGAGUAGCUUAACCUAAAGAGUUUGCUUCAGAGAGAAUCACACAGAAUUAACACCGAUAUAUUCACAUUUUAAUGGAUACUGAAUUGUUAAAUAGGAUAUAGAUACAAAAAUGUGAAGAGAAGAAAAUUCUUUUUAUUUUUUUAUUUUUUUAUAUAUGUUUUUCUGAUCAGAUGUGACAGUUUCUAGAAUAUUUUUUUUAAAUAAGUUUUUGAAAUAAUAAGUUUUCUCAUAUUAAUCAUUUUUUAUGGGUAUUUCCUGUUUUUGUUGUUUGUUUUGGUUGGUCCUUUUUGCCAAGAAUUGAUUAUUGUGCCCAGUGCACCCUCUUUCAGCAGGUUCACAGCAGAGCGUGAGGUGGGACACCAGAGCUUCACCACCGUCCCUGGAAACAUGUUUCUCUGGUCGAGGUGGUUUUCAUUCAUGGCACAUUUAAUGACCGUUUUGUUUGUUUGUUUUUUUUCUCCUCUGCUCUCAGUUGGUUGUUGGUGUUGUCAGUGGUGUUGUGGUAGGUGGAUAAGUUGUGUGUUUGUCUGUCUAUCUCUCUUUCUCUCUCUGACAUGGCAUUAAUGUGUACACAUGUACAUUUGAACACAUGUUAAUGUUAAAGCCAUCUAUGGAUGAAUCCGAGUAAAUUCUUUAAUGUAUAAUUCUUUUAAAACAAUUUUAGACUCCUGCCAGAGGGAACGCCACCACAUUGUCCUGCAGAAACAUUUCUGCUGGUGAUAUUUACACGUACCCAGUGCCGUCUUAUAUACCAUCUGCUGUACUGUGGAACAAGGACUGUGAGCAAGAGUGUUACAAUGAGGAAGGGGAGUUUUUGUCAGAUGGACGACAACAAGCAAAUAAAACUGAGCACCUACUGGUUCUUAAUGAAACCAUAAACAUCGCAGUCUCUGAAUGCAUCAAUCUUCACCAUUCUGUGACCUGUCAUGGAUCAAAUGAAAAGUUUAAACACACUUACCGAGUGAUCAAUGACACGAUCUCAAGCCAAGAUGUUCCUAAGCAGCAAACCGAUCGCACCACCACCAUCGUCUCUGUCGUCAUUCCGAUUGGACUCCUGCUGAUUGGACUCCUGAUUAGUGUCCUGAUAUGUCUCCACAAAAAACGAAGAUUGAGAAUUGGAGUCUGGGGGAAACGGUUGAGUGGCUGCUGUCAACAAACAGAUGAGACUAAGGAAUCAGACAUCCCACUGGAGGACAUUACAGCAAGAAACACGGAAGGUGAAGCUCAACUGAACACCUCAAAUACUGAAAACAUGGACCCUGGUGAUACGAGCGCUAACGGCGAUGUUCAAACUGAAGAAGCUCGACCACUCCAACCAUAUCCUUACAGUUGAUGUGUGCAGAGUCGUCGAGAGCGAGUGAGGAUUACGGUUCGGCUUCAGAACUUCUCUCCAGUCUGCUUCUGCCUUUUCUUCAGUCGCACUUUCCCUACACUUUUGCAUCUGGGACACUUUGAAAGUAAAAUUAAGUAGUUAAACUGAGACCGUGGUAUUAUAGGGCUCUACAUAAAAGUGCCAAAUUUUUAAUCAUGACAAAGCAGAUCAAAUUUUUAUACUUUAAUAGUGUUUUGGUGUAAAAAAUAUAUUUUCAUAUAUAUUACUUGCUAUAAAAAUAACAUUUAUAAGAACUAAUUUUUGCCAAAGAAAGGGAAGCUCAAACCAAAGAACCCCAAGAAAAAAAAAAAAACACUUUUCUGCACUUUAAAACACUGCACAUCCUUCUGCACUUUUGUUAUGCUCUACCCUUUUAACUGUGACGAUAGCUGGGGCUGGGCAGCUUCGAGUUGUCAACACUCACCUGAUUGCGCUCCUGGUUUUGACUGCUUCAUCCGAUCCGUGUUUUACUCUGCUAUUUCCGGUAUUGAACUGUGCCAGUUGUGACUAUGAACUUGAUCUUUGCCUUGAUUUUUGUUGGCUACGUAGCUACUGUGUGUGGGAGGCUGCACCAGAACAUCUCUACUACCCUACUACACAGUAGAUGAAAAGCAGUACACCAAAGGAGGAGCAUCUCAGAAUUCUCAGCAUUCAUACAACAGUAUUUAAGAAAUCCCCAGAUGACCUACUGCUUCCCCCGAGAUUCUGCAGUGUGGAAUAACUGGACACUGUGCUAUCCCAUAAUGCAACGUGGCAUGGAAGAGCUGUCAGAAUCAAACCUGGCGCAUCGGCUUUUUAAGCUGUAGGUCACAUGACUAUGCCAACCUGGUGGCUGUAGUGCUUAUAAGCCCUUUCCUUAACUUGCACUGUGGGGCCAAACCUUAGACUGGGUUGUCAUCAACACUACUCUACGUCAUUGAAUCAACGCUAUAGAGAGCACAGCUGGUGGCUUCAUCAGCAGCCCAGUGCUUGUUCCUUUUUAUUUUCUCAUUGUGAUUGACCUUUGCUAUCUCCUUUAUUUUUUAUGUCUGUAAUUUUUUUUGUGCAUGUGUAAAUUUGUUAGCAUUCUUUAUAUACUGUUACCAGGUGUAGGGUUCAGCUGCCAUUUCUUUCUGGGUUUUGUCUGUUUUAUUUUAUUUUUAUUUAUUUUAUAUUACCAAUAUUGCACAAGUAUGUGUGUAUGUAAUUCAUAAACCGAAGUAUUCUUAGUAGUCUUUUUUUCUUUUUCUUUAGCCAUCCAUCUUUUAUCCCAGUCAAACCUAUCCUGUUAUCUUCAACCCUAGACUGGGGUGCAUCACUGUCCUCCAUUCCAGAAAAUCUGAGACAGCAACAAAAGAGAGACAAUUUUUAGAAAGUAACAAGUCUGUUUUUACAGAAGGAAGGGAAUUGGUGGCGCAACCUAUCAUAACCCUGUAACAGGAAGUCUUAUUUCUGCCCCCAUAAUGGUGAAAUUUAACUUGGCUCAGGAGCAGAUCGAGUGGAAAGUAAAGUGCACAUGUCUCAGUGCUUCUGAUAUUUUAACAAAAAUAUAUUUGGACGCUCAAUUCGUUACCCCACUCUCACUAAUAAACUCUCUCUGUGUGUGUGUAUGUGUGAGAGCAAGAGAGAGAUUGAUAACACCUGUCUGUUCAGAUCUGUGACACAAGUUAGUAAGAAAAUAAAGUUGAUAAUAAGUAAGCAAGAGGGAGGUUUCAUACUUGACCAAAAUUGAGG
ensembl:lncRNA